UGUCAAGGGAUGGGAAUCGAACCCACGACCUUCCGCUUACCGCGCAGAUGCCAUGACCACUAGGCUACCCUGGAC
rnacentral:tRNA from 1 species